GGAUGUGAGGGCGAACUGGCUGUCACCCCACUGAUCACCAGGGUUGAUCUGGCUGCCUAGGCUGGUGUCCCCUUCCUCCCUCACCGCUCCAUGUGUGUCCUUCCUGAAGCUGUGGGCUUGGUAGAAGAGGACAGCCACCCCCAUAGAGGAGGAUGGUUUCCCUGGUCAAGGGUAUAUGGGUAGCUGCAAAUCCCUGCUAAAGCCUCCAAACAAGCACUCAAGAAAACAAAUUUGGUUGGGGGAAUACCUCAGUGGAAAA
rfam:Heterocephalus glaber contig106397, whole genome shotgun sequence.